rnacentral:ribozyme from 1 species
UUUUCUUUUCUCUGUUGUUUUAAAAGAAUUAACACAACAAGCAAUAAAGAAAAGAUAAGUUAUAAGUAAGAGUUCCUUUUUCAUCCUCAUUUGCAUAUGUGCAUAUCUAGCAGCUUCAUAUUGCUGCGUCCUUGAGAA